CUGCGCCAUUGUCCCCGCCGAGGGGCGCGAAGCCUGAUGCCGCUGGAAGCGCGCCGCCUGGUGCGUCACGACGGCCUCUGUGCCACGGACUGACUGCGCACAUGGACGCGCGGAGCGAGGUGUGUCGGUGGAGCUCCUUACACUUCAGUGGUCCAUUGAUAUCAGCAAGCUUGAUGCACAUCUGGCACACCAGCAAUCGGUCAUUCUCGUUGGUCCAAUCAAUACCAGACAGUCCUUCAUCACCCCCCUGAGGAGACACGCACAGAGAGAGUCCGAGCAGGGGUGUGUGUCCGCAGGGAUGCGAGGCCGGUGGAGUGGCUGGAGGCUGAUCUGGGUGCUGAGGAGGUUGCUGACGGCCUUCAGGGAGCUGCAGGUGUUCGGGGGCAGCGAGGGGUCGGCCAGCAGGUCUGAGAUCAGACCGUGGGCCUCACCCAUCACCGCGAUGUCCACCACCACGCUGGUGCCCGAAGACUAGAGGAGAAGGUGAGA